AGGAACCUGCCUUGGAGUGGGGAAUAACAGCUGGAAACAGCUGCUAAUACCGCAUGAUGCAUCUGAGUCGCAUGGUUUGGAGGCCAAAGAUUUAUCGCUCUGAGAUGAGCUCGCGUCUGAUUAGCUAGUUGGCGGGGUAACGGCCCACCAAGGCGACGAUCAGUAGCCGGACUGAGAGGUUGGCCGGCCACAUUGGGACUGAGGCACGGCCCAGACUCCUACGGAAGGCAGCAG
rnacentral:rRNA from 1 species